CAUCUACUCCCUCCGUUCCAAAAUAGAUGACUCAACUUUGUACUAAAGUUAGUACAAAGUUGAGUCAUCUAUUUUGGAACGGAGGGAGUAUAUC
rfam:Triticum aestivum genome assembly, contig: Triticum_aestivum_CS42_TGACv1_scaffold_226144_3B